GCGGGAAUGGCGGAAUUGGUAGACGCAUACGUUUCAGGUGCGUACGCCGAAAGGUGUGGGGGUUCGAGUCCCCCUUCCCGCA
rnacentral:tRNA from 1 species